rnacentral:sRNA from 1 species
UGAUAGUCGCCGUUCGUAGAUCCGUUGU